rnacentral:lncRNA from 1 species
CUCACCAGUAUGGCUUUUAAUCACUUUCUCUUCUGUGCAUGUGACAUAGCCUUUUGGAAGCAUUCUGGUUCUCCUCCAUAAAUAACCAUCAUAUAUUCAUUCGGAGGAUAUCUUUGAGAAGACUGAUACCUUUUGGUAAAUUUUCUCAGCUACUAUUCUAUCAUUUGCUAUAUAGAAGCUUGCUCACCAUGCUCAUCUGAUACACUGUCACUACGUGUAGGCUCAUC